ACCUUUGCCUUAUACAGAUUGGCUAAAUGACGUUCGAGAAUGUGUCAGAAGAUAAAGUAAAAAUCCGCGAUGCAAUGAACAUGUCUAUUGCUGCUUCCUCAUAAAUCCUUGUAUGAAGUACAUCUGGUCUGUCAGAUUUAUAAAUACUCAAUCCAGCUUUCUUUUCAAAGAUGACCUCAACAUUGAUAAGAAUAAUCUUAGACGUUACUUACACAAGUCCCAUGGUCACUUGGUAUUUCUGGAAGAAUUUCUGGACAUUCUUGCAAUGAAGAUAGACGCAAAUAAACUGUUUCUUUUCCGAGAUUUCUCUGUUCUCUGCAAUAAACUAUCCUGAACGCAUACCAACUGUUCCACAUUUGACCUUGUUUUUAUUUUUUUUCAUACAUUGAUAGAUGCUUUUUAGCAGUUUUUAUGUUUUUCUUUCGUUUGCAUGCUUUUUCUCUUUUCGAUUUUCUUCUCAGUUUCUUGGCCAUCCUUUGCUGGGUCCUACAUUUCUCUGAAUCCACUGGAUUACAGCAACUUGGCAUUUUUAUAAGCUGCCUCCUUUCAUCAAAUAGCUUUCACUUUGCUCCUCCUUGCUGGUUUUGCGAUCCACCUUACUAGAUUCUGCGGAAUCUGAGCGAUGUGGGCUCUGGGGAGAUUGAUGGUAGAGAUCAUCUCGCUACAUCAUUUAUGAUCUUCUCAAACUUUAAGUUCUCCAGAUCUCCCGUUAUGCUGAUGGAGUAGAGAAGGACAAUGAUCUUCCAACAAUGUUCUGUAUUCCCCCAGAGAGCUGAGACUGCUCUAACCUGGGUGGGAACUUUACAAUAGGCUGGUAAAGUGUUGCUGCUUCUGUACAGGAAGAUUACAUCUGGAGUAGUGUGUACAGAUUUAGCCUCUUCUCUGAAGAAAGGAUGUUGUUAUAUUGGAAGCAGCUCAGAGAUGGUUCCCUCAACUGAUUCCUGCAAUGAAGGUGCUGGCUUAUAACGAAAGGAUGAUCAAGUUGACGCAGUAGCCAUUGGAGUUUACAAAAAUUAAAGAUGAUCUUAUUUGAACAAAGUUGACAGAAGGAGUUAACAAGUGAAGGGAAUUACACAGAUAGUGGAGGAAUCCAUUCCGUUCUCCAGCCUGUUACACAGGAACAACAGGAGGAUAUUCAGGCCUUUGACCCUGAUACAACAAAACAGGAUGAGGCUAUUCAGCCCCUGGAGCCUGAUAUACAUUUACAGAAGGAGGCCAAUCAGCCCCUCGAGCCUAUAACAGUAGGCCAUGCUGCACCAGUAUCCUGUUCAACAGCAACAGGAGCAGUCUAUUCAGCCUCCUCAAGUCUGUAACAUAGGAACUGGAAGAGGUCACACAGUGACUCGAGGUUGUUACACUGGGAUAACAGGAGGCCAUUCAGACCCACCGAGCCUAUUGCAAGGGAAUUGGAUAAGGACAAAAACUAUCUGAGACUUCUUUCAUGAGAAACGAAGAGGUAAUUUAUACACGUGUUUGUUUUAUGGGAAUAAGAGACGACGAAUCAAUCCCUCGGUCCCAUCUCCGGGAUACAUGAGGAGACCGUUCAGUAUCUCCACCUGUUAUGGAGAAGUAUGAGAAAACCCAUGAGCCCCUCAAAUUGUUACACAGCAGCAGGAAGAUUCCAUAACCUCCCAAUCCUCAAAAGCAUCAACAGGAGGAGGUCAUUCUGGCCUUGGAGAUGGCAACAUGGGAACACCAGAAAGACAUCAGCCAAUCGAGUUUGAAUACCAGCAAGAUGAUGAGUCCAUUCAGACAUACAUGGCUCUUACACAGCAAUUGGAGCAGAUCUCUUCAAGCCUUGUGCCCAUAAAACAGGAAUUCAAAGAAAACAUGAAGGUUUUCGAAAGGGAAGAACUUGUAAUAAUGUAAUACAUGAGCGACUAAAGUUUAACAAUAAACUAUUGUAAUUUAA